CCAAUCUUGAUUGAGUGACCCAACUUGUUUUAUAUGCUAGGGGUGACAUCUGCUGCAGGUCUCUGAUUCAACAACGGGGUUUUUUUUUCUGACUACUCAGUUCGGCACCGUGACCGGUGUAAGUAUGAUGGCGUGAUGAAUGAAGAUUAACAUGUGUUCUUGUGGGCUUCGUGUAAGGAAAAGUAGUGGGGCGUCUUGCGGUGGACAUGGAAUACAGGAAACAGAUGUGGUGGAGAAAACACACAAAUGCUGGACGACGUCACAAUAGAAAUGUUAUUCUAACCAGACAACUUCAGUGUUACUUAUGGACGGCUGACUGAUGGAGGAGAUUACUGCAAGCCAGAGAGCUUUGUGCGACAUAUAAACCGCUGUCAUGGAGCUUGAAUGAUACUGUGGAGAAGACCACAGUGGGAAGGUAAAAGACCGAUUAUUGUGAAAGAUAUUAUGGAAUGUGGGAGACACCAUGCAACAUCCCUCUCCUGAAACUCAUUCCCAGGACCAGACAAUUGACAGGUCUCACAUCCAUAUCAAUAUGAGAUGCUGAUAAGAAAUGUACUCCUCUACCCACAUCAUCUCUGCAUGUACACGACCAAGCACCACUGAACACAAGGUGCGGGAGGAGUCUGUGGAGUGCCUGUCAUCACAUGUGCUGUUCGUACUGCAGGACUAGUGUGCAGCCAGAUACCGUCGCAGGACAGGACAGUGCGACGGCCAUGACCUCCAAAAAGGAGUGUCCAACAGUCCUGUGGAUUUGUGAAGAUUUUCAAGGCAAUCCAAAAAUGACUUUCAAUUCUGCUGUGAAGAGUAAAGACCAAAUGCUGCUUUCAACUGGAUUUGAACCCACAAGCUGAAUCUAGAAUCCCAUUCCUGUGUCCUUACAAUACAAUAGGCCACUGCUGUUAUGUGCAGUUACACACGCCUUGGGGACAUUUAAUCAACAGCUGCACGAGGUAUUUGUGCCAUUUGAUCGGGUAUAUAAUAAAAUGACUCGAAUAUGCAUUUUUACUUUGAGCUCAGUUUUCUGGAUUUGCAGCAGUUAGUCUUUGCAUUAACUAAAUUCGGUUAAUUGUGACUGCAGUACACCCCCCC
rnacentral:lncRNA from 1 species